rnacentral:rRNA from 1 species
GACGAACGCUGGCGGCGUGCCUAAUACAUGCAAGUAGGACGCAGUUGCGAACGGGUGAGUAACGCGUAGGUAACUACCUAUUAGAGGGGGAUAACUAUUGGAAACGAUAGCUAAUACCGCAUACUAGUAGAUGGACCUGCGUUGUAUUAGCAAGUAGGUAGGGUAAUGGCCUACAUAGGCAACGAUACAUAGCCGACCUGAGAGGGUGAUCGGCAAGACUGGGACUGAGACACGGCCCAGACUCCGUCGGGAGGCAGAAGUAGGGAAGCUUCGGCAAUGGGGGGAACCCUGACCGAGCAACGCAGGGGGAGUGAAGGAGGUUUUCGGAUCGGAAAGCUCUGUUGUUAAGGAAGCGGUACUUAACCAGAAAGGGACGGCUAACUACGUGCCAGCAGCCGCGGGAAUUC